rnacentral:rRNA from 1 species
UACGGGGGGGGCAAGCGUUGUUCGGAAUUACUGGGCGUAAAGGGCGCGUAGGCGGUUCGCUAAGUUGGAUGUGAAAACUCUGGGCUCAACCCAGAGCCUGCAUCCAAAACUGGCGGGCUAGAGUUCUGGAGGGGGUAGCGGAAUUCCUGGUGUAGCGGUGAAAUGCGUAGAUAUCAGGAGGAACACCGGUGGUGAAGGCGGCUACCUGGACAGAAACUGACGCUGAGGCGCGAAAGCUAGGGGAGCAAACAGG